rnacentral:rRNA from 1 species
GACGAAGGGGGCUAGCGUUGUUCGGAAUUACUGGGCGUAAAGCGCGUGUAGGCGGUUUUUCAAGUUGGGUGUGAAAGCCUUGGGCUUAACCCAAGAAAUGCACUCAGUACUGGAAGACUAGAGGACCGGAGAGGAUAGUGGAAUUCCCAGUGUAGUGGUGAAAUACGUAGAGAUUGGGAAGAACACCAGUGGCGAAGGCGGCUAUCUGGACGGUUUCUGACGCUAAGACGCGAAAGCGUGGGGAGCAAACGGG